rnacentral:rRNA from 1 species
UGGGGAAUAUUGCACAAUGGGCGAAAGCCUGAUGCAGCGACGCCGCGUGAGGGAUGACGGCCUUCGGGUUGUAAACCUCUUUCAGCAGGGAAGAAGCGCAAGUGACGGUACCUGCAGAAGAAGCACCGGCUAACUACGUGCCAGCAGCCGCGGUAAUACGUAGGGUGCGAGCGUUGUCCGGAAUUAUUGGGCGUAAAGAGCUCGUAGGCGGCUUGUCGCGUCGGAUGUGAAAGCCCGGGGCUUAACUCCGGGUCUGCAUUCGAUACGGGCAGGCUAGAGUUCGGUAGGGGAGAUCGGAAUUCCUGGUGUAGCGGUGAAAUGCGCAGAUAUCAGGAGGAACACCGGUGGCGAAGGCGGAUCUCUGGGCCGAUACUGACGCUGAGGAGCGAAAGCGUGGGGAGCGAACAGGAUUAGAUACCCUGGUAGU